rnacentral:lncRNA from 1 species
GCAGUAGGGAUGUUCUCUUGAUAAGUGUGUGAAUUGGACCAUUUUCCUGUCAAAAUGUCACAAGUACUUUUGGGUCUCAGGGAAAAUGUAUGGAGAAAAAAGUUCAUAAUUUUCCUUAGGAAUGUAGUGAAGUAAAAGUAACAGUUGGCAAAAAUAUAAAAAAUAGUUAAGUACAGACACCCAAAAAAACUACUUAAGUAGUACUUUCAAGUAUUUUUACUUAAGUACUUUACACCACUGCAUGUAAAGUGUUGGUCACAUGUUUCAUGAGCUGAAAUAAAAUAUCCCAGAAAUGUUCCAUAGCACACAAAGCUUAUUUCUCUCAAACAUCUUACUGAGCAUUUCUCCUUUGCCAAGAUAAUCCAUCCACCUGACAGGUGUGGCACAUCAACAAGCUGAUUAAACAGCAUGAUCAUUAGGCAGGUGCACCUUGUGCAGGGGACAAUAAAAGGCCACUCUAAAAUGUGCAGUUUUGUCACACAACGCCACAGAUGUCUUAUGUCACAUGUCUCAGUAAGCAAUUGGCAUGCUGACUGCAGGAAUGUCCACCAGAGGUGUUGCCAGAUAAUUGAAUGUUCAUUUCUCAUCCGGCUUCUUCGCCUGCGGGACCGUCUUGAGACCAGCCACGUGGCCAGCUGAUGAAAACAUGUGCUCGCACAACCGAGGAAUAUUUGCAAACUGCCAGAAACAGUCUCAGGGAAGCUCAUCUGUGUGCUCAUCGUCCUCAACAGGGUCUUGACCUGACUGCAGUGGGGAAAUGCUCAAGUUCGAUGGCCACUGGCACGCUGGAGAAGUGUGCUCUUCACGGAUGAAUCCCAGUUUCAUUUGUACCUGGCAGAUGGCAGACAGCGUGUAUGGCAUUGUGUGGGAUAGCGGUUUGCUGACGUCAGUGUUGUGACCAGAGUGCCCCAUGGUGGAGGUGGGGUUAUGGUAUGGGCCCCAUGGUGGAGGUGGGGUUAUGGUAUGGGCCCCAUGGUGGCGGUGGGGUUAUGGUAUGGGCCCCAUGGUGGAGGUGGGGUUAUGGUAUGGGCCCCAUGGUGGAGGUGGGGUUAUGGUAUGGGCCCCAUGGUGGCGGUGGGGUUAUGGUAUGGGCCCCAUGGUGGAGGUGGGGUUAUGGUAUGGGCCCCAUGGUGGCGGUGGGGUUAUGGUAUGGGCCCCAUGGUGGCGGUGGGGUUAUGGUAUGGGCCCCAUGGUGGCGGUGGGGUUAUGGUAUGGGCCCCAUGGUGGCGGUGGGGUUAUGGUAUGGGCCCCA